rnacentral:rRNA from 1 species
ACCCAGACUCCUACGGGAGGCAGCAGUGGGGAAUAUUGCACAAUGGGGGAAACCCUGAUGCAGCGACGCCGCGUGAGUGAAGAAGUAUUUCGGUAUGUAAAGCUCUAUCAGCAGGGAAGAAAAUGACGGUACCUGAUUAAGAAGCCCCGGCUAACUACGUGCCAGCAGCCGCGGUAAUACGUAGGGAGCAAGCGUUGUCCGGAUUUACUGGGUGUAAAGGGUGCGUAGGCGGCCCUGCAAGUCAGAAGUGAAAUCCAUGGGCUUAACCCGUGAACUGCUUUUGAAACUGUAGGGCUUGAGUGAAGUAGAGGCAGGCGGAAUUCGUGGUGUAGCGGCGAAAUGCUUAGAUAUCACGAAGAACUCCGAUUGCGAAGGCAGCUCACUGGACUGCAACUGACACUGAGGUUCGAAAGUGUGGGUAUCAAACAGGAUUAGAUACCCUCGUAC